rnacentral:rRNA from 1 species
UACGUAGGGUGCGAGCGUUAAUCGGAAUUACUGGGUGUAAAGUGUGCGCAGGCGGCCGAGCAAGUCGAGUGUGAAAGCCCCGAGCUUAACUUGGGAACUGCGCUCGAAACUACUUGGCUAGAGUGUGGCAGAGGGAGGUGGAAUUCCACGUGUAGCGGUGAAAUGCGUAGAGAUGUGGAGGAACACCGAUGGCGAAGGCAGCCUCCUGGGCCAACACUGACGCUCAUGCACGAAAGCGUGGGGAGCAAACAGG